rnacentral:misc_RNA from 1 species
CAAAUCAUGGGGGUGGGUAGUUGGUGGAGGGGGAGGGUUUAGCCGGGCAGUUUUGCUUUGGCUAACUCCCACCCAACAUCCUACCUAACCCACACAUUGGCACAGAGCCGCAAGGCUCUGAUGUUUACGCUUGUUUGUUUGACAGAUUUAUAUGAGACUAAAAUAUAGA